rnacentral:lncRNA from 1 species
CAUAAUUUCAGUGAUUCCUCAUGUGAGUUAAACACUUUUGUAUUUGCAUUUAAAACUAGCAUUGCACAAAUGAUAAAAUUCAUGCUAAUACUUUAAAAUUUUAACUUGGAAUGACAUUAAAUAACAUGAAAAAUGCAGCACAUCAAGAAAGAGACUCUGGAAGAGAGGAAAAAGCUGUAUAUUUUAGUAUUGUUAUGCCUUUUUCUUGCUUUUUGAACAGGACUUCCACAUUUUAGUUUAGCACCAGGUUCUGCAGACCAGAUAGCCAGUCCUAUUUAAAAGGGCCCACCAACGCAUGGCAGAAUGCAUUUUAAAAAGAUUUAUUUUGGAACUUCAAAGGUAAAGAGAAGUUUUUGAAGUUUCCAGAGAGAAAGAAGGGUUAAUUUACAAGAAAUGAAGUGCCUGCGGCCAGCAAUGUGGAGCUGGGUCAAGAGCGCUGUGGCUCUUUGAGCAUAGGGCACCGACUGUGGCUGGCCAGGGCUUGUGUGUGGCCCAGGGCUUCUGAGCAGGCUCAUCCCUUCUGAGCAGGCUCAUCCCAUGUCUUGACCUGGUCUGGAAACCAAAGGAAGGUGCAGCGGACAGCAGCUGGGGGGCAGGGGUAGACUGGGCACACGAGGCUCAUUGUGAAAUCCCAGGGCGUCUCCUGGGAGCUUGUCUGCACAGAGCUGGCAGGGCCAGUGCUGGAGCCAAGCCAGGUUCCAGAAACGUGCCCAGACACAGCUUGGCAAGGUGGUGGGCUGCAGCAUGUGAGGACAGGAGGAACACAGUGUCCCUGAGCUCUGCUGCUCCAGAGCUGGGCUCCGUGGAAGAACCAGGAGGCUGAAGAGGCUUCCUGAGUGGUGGUAUAUUCACAUUUGUCUAUUCUUACAAAUGGCCCCAGACUGGAGGAGGUGCAGGCCCCACAGAACUGGAGUGCUUACCACCUGAACCCCUGGAAGUGUCUCCCUCCUGAAGGCCCUGGGUCUCAAACCAGCUGCUCAUUUGACUUGCCCAGGGGCUUUAGACAGCUGCCAGGCCACAGCCCAGAACCAGGAGCCAGCCUCAUGGACUUUCACAGCCCUAUCAGACUACUACUGGCGGAGAAGCUGACAGGGAGGACUAGGUGUCACUGGAUUCAGGGGAUGCUGGAGACAUGGGACCGGCAUGCAAAACAAGACCUUGAAGCUUGGCCUGAUCACCACACCCAGCUCUAUGGAGAGAAGCCUGUUCUGGCUUUAAGAAGGCAUCUCCAAGAACUGCCAGUGGCCUGAAACAUCAGCCGAAACCUGGGAAGGGUCCCUGCCCCACCAGCUGUACUGGGAGCCUGGCAGGGCAUGAUUUUGAGCCAUACUGGGCCCUGGCAGCUGCUGACACUACUGAGUGCUGGGAGCCAUUGGGCUGGCGCCCCUCCUUCAGGCCAUGCAGCAGGAGACCAUGUAAGAAACAAGAGAGAUGGAGUCUGUCUCGAGGCUCAAAGCCCGCUUCCCGCUCGGCUGCUUUCUCACUCCGGGCUGCGGCAGGGCAGAUGCUGUCUGAAGGAGAACAGGCGGUCCUGGCAAGCCCAGCUUCCAUGAGAAAGCACCCAUGGGUGUGAUGUGGGUGCUGCUCAGUGCCCUCCCACCCUCUGCACGCCCCAGAGGGGCAGAGGCAGGGUCCUUAUUUAGGCUGUGCGGGAGAGGCAGACCUUUCGCUGUGAGUGGAGGUGCUUGGCUCUCAUGAAGACUUAGGUAAAAGUGUACUGGCCUGUUUUGGGCUUCAGGGACCUAAGUAAUGGCCUCUCCAUUGUUUUAUUUUUACUGUGGUAAUGGUGGCGUCUAUCAUAGAGCCAAUCGCAGGUGGUUUGAGAUGGGAGUGGGGGUGUCAUGUCCAGAUCCACCGGGGAAGGGCUAACUCCCGUGGAUGCCAGUGAGAUGGAAAACCGGUUCUACACACCGUGACCCGAAUGGGGAAAAAUGAUGACCAAGCUGGUUAAUAAUAAAAGGUCAUUUUCACGUUGGCAGUAAUGUUGAGAGCAUAAGAAGAUCUGAAAAAUGAAAGGACAAAGACAUCUGCUUAACAGAGACACAUAUACACCACACACAAACACACAGGUACACAUACACACACCACACACACUACACAUACACACAUACAUGCAGGUAUACACAUGCAGAUAUGCAUACACACAAGUACACAAAUACACACCACAUACAGAAGCACAUACAUAGACAUAUGCCACACAAACACACCACACACACAAAUACAUACACACACAGAUACAUAAACAUGCAUACAUAUGUAUACACAGACAUCCCCACAUACCACAUGCACACACUACACACAUAGACACACACAUGCCACACAUAUACAAACACAGAUACACCACACAGAGAUACACACAUAUACACACACCAUGUAUGCAUGCAAACAUACAAACACACAUGGACACACACAGACACCUCCCCAAACCACAUGCGCACAUCAUGAACGGACACACACAUACUACAAACAGAUGCACACGUACACCCCCUCCCACACACACACAGAUUCCUAACAGGAUGAACCCUCCGGCCCAUUAGGGGAAGCCCUGGUAGCAAAUGAAAAAAAGCAUCCUCUAGAAAGCUACUAUUUAGUGAUCAAGAUUAAAGAACUGGGGUGAGGCUGAGAAAAAAAUUCAUAGCAUGACAUUAAGGAAUGGAUAUCUCAUUAAUUUUAAAAGAGAAGAUUGAAUGAACAAGUGUCUAAUAUUUUGACUGUAGAAAAAUAAAUAAAAUGGCUGUUUGUUCACGGCCAUGCUUUAACUGGGCGAUAUUUUUCUCUUCAUGAAUCUCUUCUACUUAAAUUCUCUCCACCUUGGGAGGUCUGCCUUAUUUCCAAGGCGAGCAAAUCCUGCUCAGAUCCUGGUCCACUGAAGUCUGUCCGAGGAGUCUUUUCUCGCCCCUGUUCUGUUGAGAUUUCCUGCCAUGUACACGGUAGUGUGAGGUAGAAAGUCUCGGUAGUUGAGAUUGGCUUGACCAAGCAUCUUGUUUUCUUUUUUAUUUCGAGGUUG